GGUUAGGUUCAUACCAGACCGAGCGAAGCCAAGCGGUCUUGGGCCGGCUUAGUACUGGCGUGGGGGACCAGCUGGGAACCGCAUGGCGAUCUAACCU
rnacentral:rRNA from 1 species